rnacentral:rRNA from 1 species
GAUGAACGCUGGCGGCGUGCCUAAUACAUGCAAGUCGAGCGAACAGACGAGGGGCUUGCUCCUCUGACGUUAGCGGCGGACGGGUGAGUAACACGUGGAUAACCUACCUAUAAAACUGGGAUAACUUCGGGAAACCGGAGCUAAUACCGGAUAAUAUAUUGAACCGCAUGGUUCAAUAGUGAAAGACGGUUUUGCUGUCACUUAUAGAUGGAUCCGCGCCGCAUUAGCUAGUUGGUAAGGUAACGGCUUACCAAGGCGACGAUGCGUAGCCGACCUGAGAGGGUGAUCGGCCACACUGGAACUGAGACACGGUCCAGACUCCUACGGGAGGCAGCAGUAGGGAAUCUUCCGCAAUGGGCGAAAGCCUGACGGAGCAACGCCGCGUGAGUGAUGAAGGUCUUCGGAUCGUAAAACUCUGUUAUUAGGGAAGAACAAAUGUGUAAGUAACUAUGCACGUCUUGACGGUACCUAAUCAGAAAGCCACGGCUAACUACGUG